ACACAUGCAAGUCGAACGGAGUUUACUUAACAGAUUCCUUCGGGAUGACGUUUUUUAAACUUAGUGGCGGACGGGUGAGUAACGCGUGGGUAACCUGCCUUACACAGGGGGAUAGCAGUUGGAAACGACUGGUAAUACCGCAUACCUUACAUUAUUCGCAUGUUUGAUGUAAGAAAGAUUUUAUCGGUGUAAGAUGGACCCGCGUCUGAUUAGCUAGUUGGUGUGGUAACGGCAUACCAAGGCGACGAUCAGUAGCCGGCCUGAGAGGGUGAACGGCCACAUUGGGACUGAGAUACGGCCCAGACUCCUACGGGAGGCAGCAGUGGGGAAUAUUGCACAAUGGAGGCAACUCUGAUGCAGCGACGCCGCGUGAGUGAAGAAGUAUUUCGGUAUGUAAAGCUCUAUCAGUAGGGAAGAUAAUGACGGUACCUACAGAAGAAGCCCCGGCUAAAUACGUGCCAGCAGCCGCGGUAAUACGUAUGGGGCAAGCGUUAUCCGGAUUUACUGGGUGUAAAGGGAGUGUAGGCGGCAGUACAAGUCAGGAGUGAAAACUUGGGGCUCAACUCCAAGACUGCUUUUGAAACUGUACAGCUAGAGUGUAGGAAGGGCAAGCGGAAUUCCUGGUGUAGCGGUGAAAUGCGUAGAUAUCAGGAAGAACACCGGUGGCGAAGGCGGCUUGCUGGACUAUAACUGACGCUGAGACUCGAAAGCGUGGGGAGCGAACAGGAUUAGAUACCCUGGUAGUCCACGCUGUAAA
rnacentral:rRNA from 1 species